CCUACGGGUGGCAGCAGUGGGGAAUCUUCCGCAAUGGGCGAAAGCCUGACGGAGCAACGCCGCGUGAUCGAAUGAAGGCCUGCGGGUUGUAAAGAUCUGUUGACAGGGACGAAUAAGCAAUGCGAAUAGUUUUGUGUAUGACGGUACCUGUUCAGAAAGCUCCGGCUAACUACGUGCCAGCAGCCGCGGAAAUACGGAGGGAGCAAGCGUUGUCCGGAAUUACUGGGCGGAAGGGGUGCGUAGGUGGGCGCUUAAGUCGGGUGGGAAAACUCCGGGCUAAACCUGGAGACUGCACUUGAGACUGGGUGUCUUGAGGGCAGGAGAGGAAAGUGGAAGGCCUAGUGUAGCGGUGAAAUGCGUAGAUAUUAGGAGGAACACCAGUGGCGAAGGCGGCUUUCUGGACUGUACCUGACGCUGAGGCGCGAAAGCGUGGGUAGCGAACAGGAUUAGAUACCCCGGUAGUC
rnacentral:rRNA from 1 species